AGCGAACGCUGGCGGCAGGCCUAACACAUGCAAGUCGAACGGAUCCUUCGGGAUUAGUGGCGGACGGGUGAGUAACACGUGGGAACGUGCCCUUUGGUUCGGAACAACUCAGGGAAACUUGAGCUAAUACCGGAUGUGCCCUUCGGGGGAAAGAUUUAUCGCCAUUGGAGCGGCCCGCGUCUGAUUAGCUAGUUGGUGAGGUAACGGCCCACCAAGGCGACGAUCAGUAGCUGGUCUGAGAGGAUGAUAAGCCACACUGGGACUGAGACACGGCCCAGACUCCUACGGGGGGCAGCAGUGGGGAAUCUUGCGCAAUGGGCGAAAGCCUGACGCAGCCAUGCCGCGUGAAUGAUGAGGGUCUUAGGAUUGUAAAAUUCUUUCAGCGGGGACGAUAAUGACGGUACCCGCAGAAGAAGCUCCGGCUAACUUCGUG
rnacentral:rRNA from 1 species